rnacentral:lncRNA from 1 species
UUCAGAAGUAAAUGUCAUGAAGGGUUACAUUUACCUAUUGGAGACACUAAUGAGAGUGUCAAAGAACAUUGGACCUGUGUGAAAGAAGAUGCAAGAAAGCAGCUGGCAGUGCAAUGGAAAGCUAGAAUGACAGCCGAUAAGGGCAACUCGUUGGAGAUUUUACUAUUUUUGUCAAUCAUCUUGGGGUGAUUUCCCGGCAAAGACAGGCUCUAGAACCAUGUCAAGCAGUUGGUUUUGCAGAUAAGAUUCCUGGUAAUUUUCUUGAAAUUUGGCUUUCUUAGUGUGCUCUAUCUUCUGCACUAUUAUUGCCCUUAUUUAGUUUUUGAUACGAUUUAUUUAGUUCUACAAGUAACAAUAUAAAGCCAAUAGGUGUCCGUAACUAUACCGUUGUAUAGGUGUCCGUAACUAUACCCUUAUUUAGUGUCUAGAUACCGUUGUUUUUGUUCAUAGUGUCAAGCUGGUAGUUAUCUUACGGUUGGUUUUAUCCUGCCUUGAGGAGCCAUGUCAAGAGGUCUUCAUCACAGAUCCUGGCAAGGGCUUUAAAGGGAGUUUUUGCUAAGGCAGAUGAACUUCUAAGUACCACACCCAAUAGCUUUAUGCUUCAACAGUUUGAGAACCCUGCCAAUCCAAAGGUAGUUUUGCAGCAAAGUAGAGUAUUGUGGCUAGAGUCCAGAUUGCUUAGACAUUUCCUGAAUCUUUUUUCUUUUCAUUUGUGUAGGUUCCUUAAUCCUUAUGAAACCACUGGCCCGGAGAUAUGGAGAGACUCGGGAGGGAAAGUUGACAUCCUUGUUUCAGGGAUAGGGACUGCGGGCACUGUAACCAGAGCAGGGAGUUUCCUCAAACAGCAAAAUCCAAAUAUCAAGGUUGAAUUGGCUUUUGUGUAUAGAUAUAUUUUACGCGCAUAUUGAACUGACAUGGUCUAGUGGUGUGACUUCUUUUGUUCAUGUUUAGGUGUAUGGUGUAGAACCAGCAGAAAGUGCAGUCCUGAACGGUAGCAAACCUGAUGAGUUACUCUAGUGCUUUGUAAGAGAUGAAGGAGAUGCUACAGCCUAACAUAAGUAUUGUAGUUUAGUUUCAAUCAAUUAAGUGGUCAAAUCUGACUGAUGCAUCAUGCAUGUAAUGAUACAUAAUAUGCACGCUUGUGUUGAAGGGAUGCAUCUGAUCCAAGGAUUUGGUGCUGGUUUCAUACCUCAAGUUCUGGAUGUUAGCUUGCUGGAUGAAGUUAUUCAAGUAAGUCUGGAACUCAUCUGUACUGCUGUAAAGAUUAGACUUUAGAUGUGAAAUUGGCUUGCUCUUACUUGUAUAAUUUGAUGGAUAAAAGGAGUGGUAUAUCUUGUUUCUCAUAACAUGAAGAGCAUUGAUCUUUUUUCUUCCAGAAAGCUCAAGAAAGAUAGAAAAUGUAGUAAGCACUAAGCAGUACAAUGGUUGAUCCAAAAUUAACUUUACUACAAGUUCUGAAAUAUACAAGAUGAUGACCAAGUUCCCAACACUUGUAACAUUGAAAAUAUAGUCCUUACCAAUGUACCAUUUCCUUUAUUUACAUGUCAGUGUGUGUUAACUACUGUAUUUUAGAUGCCAGUAGUCCAGUAUACAACAGGAUGAACUCAUUUUAUUGGUUGCUAAUGUUGGUGUUGAAUUUUACAUAUCCAGUGAGGAAGCAAUUGAAACUGCAAAGCUGUUUGCGCUAAAAGAAGGUCUUUUGGUAUGUACCAGAAGCAACUAAUAUUGUGCUUUUUGUUGUUGUAGACAUCAAUCUUUCAAAUACUUCUGAGUGUUAUCUAUUUGCAAAUGUUGCUUGCAGAAUUUGGUUCUUAAACUCAUAGUCUUGACUUAGAAUUGUUGUUAUUAACUGCAUCUUUUUGUCAUGAAAUCCACAUGUUCCUAUUUAACUCUUCUGCUUGUGCAGGUUGUGUUUGCCAGUUCUGGAGAGCGUUACCUGUCUUCACCACUCUUCGAUACCAUCAGGCAUGAAGCAGAAAAUAUGAAGUUUGAAUGAUGGUGUUCUAUGGUUCACUCAUAAAAUGGUCCACUUAGGUUAGGUUCCUAUGGCAAUUGGAAUAAAUAAGGAAAAUGUCCAAGUCUGCAAAGCAAUAUAACCCCGAAGUGGUUCUUAUGCCUUUGCCUUCUUCAUAGAAUCCCUAUCGAUUCUACUUCAAAACUGUAAAGAAUCUUUAAGUUAAGGCCUUAAAUAGGUAAUCGUACCAGUUUGUGAGUAUUUAAUUCUACCAUUGAUCGCAUGUUGUACUUCUAUCAAGAAAAACCAAACUCGCCAGAACUUCCGCCUCCCACAUCGCUAACAUAGGAUGCGCGGAAGUGAAUGUGGGUAUAAGGCAUUCUUGUGUAAAAUUCUGUAGACUUUUGUUGAACUGUGAGUUGAUCUCAGAAUUAAUAGAAUAGUUGAGGGAGCAAACCUCAUAGAUAGGAGAGUUUUUGGUAGUUUAGGGUUAACACGCAAUUUGUGAACACUAAGCUUUUGUUUCAUUGAAGAAAAUAUUAAGCUUUUAUCUGCCCCAGACGAAGAAAAAUACAAAAAAAUAUGGUCUUGAAGUCGUGGAAUUUGUAUAAGGAGCGAAAAAAAUAAGAGGACGAAAAUACGGUCUUUCAACUUGUUCAUUCUCCAAAAAUCAAAUGGAAAAGUUUGCCUUCAGAUCGAUAUUAUGUGUGAUCUUGACCCUUCUGCUUGUUGUUUGUUGUAAGUAGUCUACCACUCUCUUUCUAUCACACACACACACAUAUGUAAGUACUUUGAUUUCUUUUUUCUUUUUUCUGUUUUGCAAUUAAUUUAAUUAACUAUCAAGAUCGUGUCUAAUUAUCAAAUAGACAUUUUUCUUAAACACUUGUCUUACGUAACUAGAGCUCGAAUCUCUAUUGGAUUAGCUCAAGUUCAAUAGAUGGAGAUGAUCGUGAUUAAUUAUUCUUAAUUUUGAUCAUAUAAUGGCGAAUAUCCAAACAUUAACGAAAUAUAUUGAUUGAUUGCUGAAUUCGAUGCAGACUUGCCAAUAUUGAAGGCCAAUGGAUAUACUAGUGAGUUUGAUGCUAGUGGGAUUGCAACAACAAUCUGCCUAGAUUGUGUUAUGAACAAGGAGGACAUUGCAUAUGUACUUGUACUAGUUGAAGAAAAUUUAUACUGUCAAAUCAUGUUUACCACUGUACAUCAAUGAACUAAUAAUAAACAUGAGUUAUGGGUUUCAUGUCUCUUAUCCCUCACAAUUUUUUUUUUUCUCUAUAAAUUUUACUAUUUACUUAGAACGAAAUUUAUGAUUUUGAUUUGGUUCAUAACCAGCAAACAACUCAUUGUUAAUUUACUAUUUACCCGGUAGACCAUGUGUGAAGCUGUUAAUUGACCUGAGAAUGACGGAGCAAGCGACAAUUGAGUAAAACCGCAACCGUUCGUUUGAAGAUGCUCACUAGUGAGGUACGUGUAACGUGUUGAUGACUUGAUGAGAAAGUUUCAUUGCAUUUUCUGCGUCUAGCAAAUUGUAAAUGAUAAGAAUGACCAAAUGUCUGAACCCGAAGUACAAUGUUGGUCGAGUUGCUAAGCCCCUCCAAAGCAAAUGCGGAAUGAAACCGAGAAUGGAACCCCCUACUAAACUAUAUGAAGCAAGAGUGAAUUGAUCUGAGAGUGAGAGAGCAAGAGUGAAGAUUCUAAAAUUCAUGAAACGGUGAAUUGAUGUGAGAGUGAGAGAGUACGAACGCGAGUGAUCAUUCUAAAAUUUCAAGAAGGGGGCUGCUAAUUGAGUGAGGAGCUCUUGCGGCAUUCAGCGCUCUUCUUUGUGUUAGUUUAACAGCAGUUUCUUAAGGCUCGCUUUUCCGGGCAACUGCAGCAUCACGCAAUUCUCAGAUUGUCUCCUGAGUAUUCCAACCCUUUGGUCUCAAUCUAUUCGAGCUGUUCCUUCAAUUUUUUUUUGCAGUUUACAGUAUCUGUACAACAUACAUAAGAGCUUUAAAAUCUGGGAUAUAUAGUAGAUGCCCUAGCUUGACCGCCAAUAAAGAGAGAACCUCGUUCCCAGUUUUACUCACUAGUCCCAUAUAGUUAGUUAAUCAUGCUGGACAAUAUUACUCAAUCCACUGCAAAAACAAAGUCGCCCGAUCGAAGAUCAGAGAAUUAAUACAUAAAAAGGGUUCGAAUCGCCUAUGUCAUACAAACAUGAUAAUUAACGUGUAAAUAUUUGUCGCAAACAAAGAUUAACGAAUAUUUACUUUUUUCUUUUAGAGAAAUGAAUAUUUCAUUAAUUAAGGGGACGAACCCAAAUUACAAGUUUGCAAUCGCAAGACCGAAAAACUAAUAACAAAGAGUAUGAAUCUCCAACUCAAUCAAUAUAGAAAGAGUGAAAGGAAACCACAAACUCACUAAACUAUGGGCCGAAGACCCUGCAUCCGAAAACAUAAAUACAACAAUACUAACAAAUCUACCACACACACCACUCAUGCACGCUAGCAUUGCCGAACAAAUAUUAACUUAUCACAAUGAAACAACAAUAGUUCUGAAUUGGGAGUUGCUAAAAAAGAGAAAAAGUUCUGAAUUUUCCUUAACAAGUAUAUCAAGGCCCUUCCACCAGGGGAUCCUAUUUUGUGACUUGUAUGAGGGACGGGGCAUUAUACCAAUUUUUUGAUUGAAUUUUCACAUCUCCACUGUUCACUUUAUAUGUUUAUAUGAGUAGAUAACCUCUAUAAAUUUUCAGCCAAAUUGGUUGUCGUUAGAGUAUUCAAAACUAAAAUUCCAUAUUAUAAGCAUGAACGGUUAAGGUUUGGCAGAUGUGGUAUGCUAGUCAAUUUAAUCUCUUUUGACACCUUAAAGAAUACCAAGUUGAAAAUUUACAGAAGUGAUCUGUAUAUUAGAACCUACAAACUGAACGGUGGAGAUGCAAAAUUUCAAUCAAAAGUUGGUGUAAUACUGUAUCCCUCAUAGAAGUUACAAAAAAGAUCCCUUUAAUGGAAGGGCCCUGAUUCCACUAUGGGAUCUCUUUUUGUGACUUGUAUGAGGGACGGGGCAUUACACAACUUUUUGAUUGAAUUUUCACAUUUCUACCAUUCACUUUAUAUGUUUAUAUGAGUAGAUCACAUAUGUAAAUUUUCAGCCAAAUUGGUUAUCGUUAGAGUACUCAAACUUGCAAUUCAAAAUUAUAAGCAUGGACGGUUCAAGUUUUGUAGAUUUGGUUUGUCAAUUGAUUUAAUCUCUUUCGACACCUUAACUAUCACCAAAUUUGUUGAAAUUUACAAAAGUGAUCUAUAUAGUAAAACCUCCAAAAUGAACGGUGGAGAUGUAAAAAUUCAAUCGAAAAGCUAGUUGGUGUAAUUCCUCAUCCCUCAUACAAGUCACAAAAGGGAUCCCAUUGAAUUUUCUUAUCUCCACCGUUCACUUUAUUUGUUUAGAUGAGUACAUCACAUCUGUAAAUUUUUAGCCAAAUUGGUUAUCGUUUGAGUACUGCAAUUCAAAAUUAUAUGAGCAGUUCAAGUUUUGCAAAUUUGGUCCGUUAAUUAAUUUAAUCUCUUUUGACACCUUAACGAUUACCAAAUUUGUUGAAAAUUUACAGAAGUACUGAUCUACAUAUUAUGACCUACGUACAAACUGAACGGUAAAGAUAUAAACAUUUAAUCAAAAAGUUGGUAUAAUACUGUAUCCCUCAUAGAAGUCACAAAAAAAUGAUCUUUUUAGUGGAAAGACCUUAAAUAUCAAGGCAUAUCCACUAAAGGAUCCAUUUUUGUGACUUGUACGAGAGACGGGGCAUUACACAAGCUUUUUGAUUGAAUUUUCACAUGUAUAAUGUCACACAUGACAGUGUAGUACAAGUACUGAAUAGCUAGUUGCUAAAAGAAAAAAGAGUUGAUAUCUAUAGAUCGAUGUAGGUGACUGUGUUACUUGUAGCUGCAUGACUAUAUAUGUGCCAAACCGCCCAUUCAUGUAUGUAAAAUACGUAUAUGUACGUAUAUAUACGUACUAGCUAGCUAGAGUGCAUAAGCCAUGGGUGGACGUUUAGAGGGAGAGAGAGAGCCUUGGAGAAAUUGCAGGGUUUUUACCUCGGGGUGUGAAAUAUUGACCGUGGUUUGUUACGAUUCGGUAGUUAUGGGGAGGUGUGAGGACUUUUGGCAAGAAAAAUUCAGAGGGUGUGAAAUGCGUUAUGCGUGUGUGUUAACUGAGUUGGUGUGGGGGUUCUUUUUGAUUUGGAAAUAACUAAGUCAAAAUCAACUCAUAGAAUUGAAUUAAUGAGUUAAUCUUGUGUGUGAUUCAAGAGCAGGGAAAGGCUUGUAGCGUGAGCUGGCGAGGAAGCUGAAGGCACACCGCGGUGGUGAAAAUUGGACUGAGCUUUUAAGGUUAGAUUUCUGGGAAGGAUUUGGGUUUCAAGGAUAGGGAUUGAAAUAUGGUUGAGGAGGAGUUUUUGGCUUGAAGGUUUGAAGGCAUGAAAGCUUGAGUGUUUUAGGAACUUUUCUGGGCUGGUUGUUCUAUAUCCCUGCAGCUCCCAAACCCCUCUUCUUAUAGAGCUCAAUUGAUGGGUUUUGCAAUGGGUUGCGAUACCUAAUCCACUGUGUAAAAGGAUUGUUCUUCUUAAACACAUGAUCUUAGCCUCAAAAGCUGGCAGAGAGAGGUUGACUUUGAGAGAUGGGAGAGAUAACUCACUGCAGGGGCGCUGCGAGGGCGGCUGCAGAGACGGAAACCCAAGAACGAGGCAGACCAAGUAGCUUAAAUCCCACGAUUUCGUCAUUCAAUGAUGAAAGAGCUACCUUGAAACCAGUCACUAGCUUUCUUCUUCCUCGGGUUGGGAAUGAAUAGGAUUUUACUGUUGUACAAAGCUCGUCGUCGUACUGUUGCGGGGAAAAGAUAAAGUGUGGCAUCUGGUUCAAAAAUGAGAACAUAAAAAGGGUUGGGCUUUUUCCUAAAAGGAAAGAGUUUGGGCUUUUUCCUAAAAGAAAAAAGGGGGUUGGACUUUGGAUUCAAAUAUAUUUUGGGUUUAAAAGAUGAGUAGUCCAAUUCUCACAUUCUUCACCAAUUCGUCGCCUACUUAAGUCGUCGAGCUUGAGUUUCGGGCCCAAGACCGAAACUUCUUAACAACAUUAAAUCGGCGGACGAGCGUUAUGUGCCUCCGUAACCAUCCACACCAUACCCACUUCUACAAGCCCCAAUGAUGCGUGUAUGCGGCUUGGGCCCACAUGAAUGCAUGGGUAUGUUCGCUUGGGUUAAAUCCUUGAUUUAACCUAAGAUUGCAUGAAAUUAUUGCGUGACGAAGUAUUAAUUGAUCGUAUGAUUUUUCGGGUAUCAACAGUUGGUUAAAGUGAGGAGGGAUCCCCUGCGACGUUCUUACUCUAGCUAACUAUGGGUAUCCAUCGAUUGGAAUUCAAUCAAAGCUAACCACCUUGCAAUGCAGCUUCAGUACUACUAAAUCGGAAUAUUUCUCUCUCAAUUCCCCCAAAUUUCACACACUUUCCACUCCUCUUCACUCACUCUCUCUGAAUGGACUAGUAAUUUUUAGCGUGGUAACUCUUUCUGUCUUUCAUACUGUAUAUAUUACCACCAAAAUGAUGCCAGGGUCUUUGUAUAACAUAGUAAAACGUGCUAAAGUUUACUAGUCAAUUCCUAGUUUCAUUUGAAGGGUUUGCAAUUUACAUUUUUUUUUUAAACAAAGGAGGGCAUAUUCAUAUCACCCAUUGUAUUAAUAGACGCAGGUAGAAAGACAACCGAUACAAACCCCAAUAAAUUGAGGUGAAAUUUAUAUUUUUUUACACACUUGUAUAGCUUAAUCAUAUCCACAAACAUUAUCAAUGCUCAUUGUACUAGCUAGCGACUUUCUCCCCGUUACAACAAUCCCAUCAGAAUCAUCAGACCUUAUUAUGUCUGCCUUGACCACCAUACUAACCAUCAGAAUCAUCCCAAAUGAAUAUUCCAUUUGUGAAUCAAAAAACUCAAAACUACUUGAUCCUUAUUGAUAUUUACCAUCUCUAGCCUUUGUGGUUAUUCAUUUUACUUGCAGUGAUGGAAUUAUCUCUGUAGAAACUUUAGCAUCCAGUGAAAAUUAAUUGUGUUAUCCCUGUAGAACUGGUCAAUUGGCAUUAAUUUGAGCUGAGCUAAGUUAGCAAGGACACUGUUGGAGUCAAGAAAACCAGACUGAAAAUACUGACCAUCCAGUUGCCAUCAGUGUACCAACGAUUUGGACUCGCCGUACUUUGACUGAGUUUUCAACAUCGCUUUUAAAUUUUGAAAAUCCCUCCUUUUUUUAUCACCUUCAAGCUUCAAAUUUUACCACUAUAUGUCUAUAUAUAUGUAACUAUGUGAGCCUCCAUAGUCCAUAUAUAAUCUGCCUGUUAGUUUCUUAUUGCAGCCAUUUUAACCUCUCAUUCUGUUCCAAAGUUCUCCAGCGUAUAUAUUUCUCUCUCACCCAGCAGCAUCUAUGAUAACAUGAUCAAUUCUCUUAGUUUUCCCCUUAUUUGCCAUUAUCACAGCAAUUCACAACCCAAGCUCUAGUACAGCCUCAUUAUCAUGCUGCCACUGCAUCAAAGAACAUGUCCGGGAAGCUUAAUAAGCCGUGUCUAUGGUCAUCCCCAAAAUUUACCAUUUUAUCGAGUACUAAUUAAGCUAGGAUCACAAGUUAGAAUAGUAUUAGGCGAGCUGUGGCAUGGAAAGUAUGCUGUCCAGCUUGUCUGCUUGCUUUCUCGGGCGCUUCUACAUCUGCAGUGUAUUCAGGGUUCCCUCCUCAACUAACCAGGAGGAGGGGAGUAAGAUGCAAGCAGCUAGAAAGCUGAGGGGUGCCACCCCGCCUUCAGGAUCUAGAAUAGCUCCGCCUCUGAGACAUUCGAUUUCCACUUUCUUGGACGCCUUAAUAACGCGGAGCUCGGCGAGCCGGUCGUCAAUGACGUGGACUGGAUCCUGGUGAACCAAGACGUCCCCGCCGAUAAGCUCACCACCGGCGGAAGCAUCAAGAAGCUUCUCUUCCUCGUCGGCGGUGCUGCGUCGUUCGCGAUCAACGAUGAAGCCGUCAUCGACGUCGUGCACGGGAUCGGAAAAGAGGCCGGGUUUCCGACGGCAUGCAUUAUCCAAAUUCCGAGACUGACUACCUGCAUUCGCUCUGUCCUGAAGAUGUCCGAGGAAAAAGCUGAAGAGGUGAUUUUUUUUCCACCUUCAAACACGUCGGAUUUGCCAUCUUCGGCUACGUCGUCUACUCCCUCAUCUUUACCGGCGGCCUAAGCCUCGGCGCAGCGCUGGUCUUCGUUUUCAAGCGUGGUUUAAUGAAGUCUGUGUUCGUCAAAGCCUCUAAAGCUAAGAAUAAGGACGCCGAUGGUAAUUCUCAGGUAGCUUCGGGGCUUUUCUGUAAAUUAACACCUGUGUGGCUUUUUAGCGGAGCCAGUUCGUGACUGAUGCAAAGAAGAUAGCCAACGAUGCGCUUAAGCAGUCGAAGGGUUCUGGAAAAAACGAAUUGAGCGAUGAGAUUAGCGGUGAGAUUAGCGAUGAGAAACUCGUCGCAUUGCUCGAGAGGGGCGCGAUUUUAUUGGUGAAGAGAGAGACCGCAAAGAAAAGAAGGUUUGAUUUGGCUCCGAUUCUCUGAGUUUUUUUGUUUGAUUUUGUUCUCGGUGGUGUGAAUUUUAAUUUUGAGUUAUUGGUUAACUUUGGUGGUGGCGGAGGAGAGGAAGGUGUAAUUUGGCUCCGAUCUUGAAUUGUUUGUUUGAUUUUGUUAUUCGGUGUUGUGAAUUUUAAUUUUGAGUUUAUAUAUUAACUUUGGUGGUGACGGAGGAGAGGAUGGGUUGGAGGUUUUAGGUUUUAAUUGCUAGGGAGGGUGGUAUUACGUUAAUUGUUUUUGUUUGUUGUAUUGUCAUUGUUUCGUUUUUAUGAGCAUUGUGUAAUUGAAACCAGUGAAUGGUGUAUUUUGUUAUGGUUGCUUUGGUUUGAUUCUGUAUAUACUGCGAAAUAUGACGUUUUUUGUGUUUGUGUUUUAAUGCUCAGGCCGGUUGCUCUAUGUUUACUGAAAUUUUCACUUUGGUGAAAAUGAAAAAAUAAAAUAAAAAUUUAUGUUAUGUAGAACGUCCAGUAAAAGAGAAGCAUAUGUAGGUGGUGAUGAGUGUUUAGAGCUAAAGAUAUGAUAAAUUGUGAGCUCCAAAUAUGAAUCCCUGCAUGCUGUGCAUUCUUAAGGCUAGGUUGAGCACUUCUUACAUGCUUAAGAAUAUCUGGGACUCUGUAAUUUCUGAUAUGUUUAACUUUGUUAUUUCUAUGUAGUGUACGCAGUGAUCUUGUUUCUCGAUUAAUUCCUAUCAGAGGAUCCCUUGUAUCAAACAAUUACAUUAAAGUAAUUGUUAACCAUGAUGGAAAGGCUUGUAUUCAAGUACAGAUCAAGGAUGGUAAAACAGUAGCUAUCAGUGCUGAGGAUAUCAAUGCUGUGAUUUUUACCAAUUCGGAAAUCAAGGCCACUGUUGUUAUAUCACAGCAUUGAUAUCCUCAGCAUUGACAGUUACCGUUUUACCAUCCUUGAUCUGUACUUGAAUGCAAGCCUUUCCAUCAUGGUUAACAAUUACUUUAACGUUAUUGUUUGAUACAAGGGAUCCUCUGAUAGGAAUUAAUCGAGGAACAGUAUCAUUAUGUACGCUACAUAGAAAUAACAAAGUUAAACACAUCAGAAAUUACAGAGUCCCAGAUAUUCUUAAGCAUGUAAGAAGUGCUCAACCUAGCCUGAAGAAUGCACAACAGGCAAGGAUUCAUAUUUGGAGCACACAAGGAAAGGCUUGCAUUCAAGUACAGAUCAAGGAGGGUAAAACGGUACAUGUCGGUGCUGAGGAUAUCAAUGUUGUGAUUUUUAUCAAAUCGGAAAUCAAGGCCGCUGUUGUUAUUGUUCCUGGUGAGUGAGUAUAGUUCAUGGUUUAGCUUUACACCCUCCUGUUUACAUUGAUGUAUGUCGAUCAUGACUGACAUUGGUUUCAAUUUCUAUUACAGAAUACUUUAAUGGUGGUCAGAUAGAGGUAACCAAGGAUGCUGCUGCCAUUGCUGGGCUUGAUGAUGCUCAGAGAAAGGAAAUCAAUGAACCAACUUCAGCAGCUAUCACCUAUGGUUUGGACAAGAAGGGUGGUGAAACAAACAUCCUUAUCUUUGACCUUAGCGGUGGUACUUUUGAUGUCAAUAUUUUGACAAUUGAAUUUGGUGUCUUUGAGGUUGCCAGAAACGGUGACAUUCCUUUAGGAGGUGACAUUCUUGUCUGAUCUUGUUUACCAUCUUGUUUACCGUUUUUGCAGAGUUAAUGUGUCGCUGAUUGCAAUGGAAUGUUUGCUAUCAUUGCAGGUGAACUGAUUUACCAAAGUAUCAUGGAGUACUUCAUCAAGUUGGUGAAGCACAUCAGCAAGGACAACAGUGCCCUUGAAGCUGAGGCCAAGAGAGCCCUCCUUGUUGAUAUUGAGUCACUUUUUGAUAAAUGUGACUCUGCUGAACCCCUGAAAUCUGAGGAAUUCAACUUGUUCAGAACGAGGCAGGUUGUGUUUGCAGUUGUGGAAAAUGCAGUGCUUUAUAUCAAUUGGCAUGAACGGGGCAGGUUGUGUUUGCAAGUUGUGGAAAAUGAUGGAAAACUGAUAGUUGUAAAUUUUACUUCCUUGUAAAUGUUAUAUAUUUGUAAAUGUUGCUUGCAGAAUUUGGUUCUUAAAUUCAUAGUCCUGACUUAGAACAUUUCCUUUCGAACCUUGCCUUCUUCAUAUAAUCCCUAUCAAUCCCGGGGUGGUUAAGACUUGCUAGUUUGUAAUUGGUAAAUAUCAGAACUUUGGCAUCCCACAUCGAAUCGAAAGGUGCGUGGAAGUGAAUGUGGGUAUGAACCCUCUGUUAAUAUUUUCAAUGUGUGGCAUAAGCGGAGCGCACGGCUAGGCGGUGGGCCAGCUGGUUCGUUUUUCUGGGCUGGCCCGUAAAACGUUUGAUCAAAAUAGCCCACCAAUUUCAUUAAUAAUCCCCUGAUGUGGGCUAGGCGGAUUCUGUGCACGUCAAGGCGGUGGUCCAGUUAGUGCGUUUUUCUGGUUGGGCUGAUAAAACUUAUCAAAUAAGUCCACUAGUUUUAUUAAUAUUCCCCCAGGGCUGGGCGGAUUUUGUGCACGUCCAGCUGGUGCAUUUUUCUGGGCACCACAAUGUUUGAUCCAACAAGCCCAUCAGUUUUUGAAAUUAAUACUCAAUUUUAUUAAUAUAAAUAACAAAAUAUCAAAUUAUAAAUAUACUAGUAAUACUCAAUUUUAAUCAGAACAUAAAUGACCUUUCUUGUCUGAAUCCUUCCCUCACAAUUUUUCCUCCCUCACAAUUUUUUUGUAUUUUUUUUUUCUCAAUAGAUUUUACUAUUUACUUGGCAUGGAGUUUAUGAUUUUGAUUUGGUUCACAACUACAAGAUAAUUCAAGUUGUUGUGGUCAUUAGUUAAGACUUGAGAUCCAACUUUAGAAAAAACUUACCUAAAUGGAGUACGUUGAUAGUAAGAAUUACGAUUAAAAUUUAUGUGUCCAACAUUGGUCCUUUGUAUUAUUUACCAACACUGUUCCAUGUUUAGGGUUAUGCAAUGGAACUUUUGCGUCCAUCCGCAUCCUUCUUUGGAAGAUGACAAAUAUCAGUAGUUGUACUAACCACUACUAAUCACAGACAUGACAAAUGGGGAUAUAUCAAGAAAGACUAUUGUACUAAACAACGUGAAGGGAAAGGAAAAAGCUACCUGUAGUAAGCAUUUACAACUUGUUUCUCUUUGUCUACAUUGCCUACAAGGUUGGUCUAUAUCUGUUUUCAUUUCUGUUUAACAACCAGUAGUUUUCACUUUUCAGUUGUGGAGAACAAGGCCUCAUUCUUGGUUACUUGGUAAAUAAUCAACUAAUUAGGUUUUCAUCUGAACCUCAUUCAUUCAUCAAUUGUUGAGUUUUUGUGGGUUAAUGCUUAUAGGAGUUAGAAGUUUGGGUUUCUCCCUUUUUUGUUUACUGCCAUACUAUAUAAUCAUGAAUUAUAGGUUGCACUAAUUAUAUUUAGUUCAGAGCACCUUAGAGUUCAUAUUCCCACAAUUUUACGAAUAGAAGUCAAUCAAUCCUACUAAUUAUGAAUUAGUAGUCAAUAAUUCAUAAUUUGUGGAAAGUCAUUUUGAUAUUAUUAUGGGUAUAUGGUGCCCUUCUGUGCCUCAGAUUGAUCAUACAGUUUCAAGCAGCUAGCAUACUGUACCAGCAAUGUACUCCUAGUUGUUUCUCAGAGUUUGUUUUUAUUUAUUUCUCAGCUUGCGGCUCGAUGGAGGACUCGUACCCAAUCAAGAACGUCACCAAAGUAAGAUUUCAUGUCAAACUUCUUUUCAUGAUGUUUUUGCUCUUGUUCAUUUUAAGUAUCUUUUGGCUAACAAGGAGAUCUCUUCUUUCUGCUCUUACUUGAUUUAUGGAGUUAAUCGGAAAUACCCUUAUGGUAUAUCUCAACAAUGUCGUGCUCCGAGCUUUUGGAGCUGAGGUCUUCAUCACAGACCCUACCAAGGGCUUUAAGGGUGUUCUUGCUAAGGCAGAUGAACUUCUAAGUACCACACCUAAUAGCUUUAUGCUUCAACAGUUUGAGAACCCUGCCAAUCCAAAGGUAGUUUUGCAGCAAAGUAGAGUAUUGUGGCUAGAGUCCAGAUUGCUUAGACAUUUCCUGAUUCUUUUUUCUUUUCAUUUGUGUAGGUUCCUUAAUCCUUAUGAAACCACUGGGCCGGAGAUAUGGAGAGACUCGGGAGGGAAAGUUGACAUCCUUGUUUCAGGGAUAGGGACUGGGGGUACUGUAACCAGAGCAGGGAGUUUCCUCAAAGAGCAAAAUCCAAAUAUCAAGGUUGAAUUGGCUUUUGUGUAUAGAUAUAUUUUACGCGCAUAUUGAACUCACAUGGUCUAGUGGUGUGCCUUCUUUUGUUCAUGUUUAGGUGUAUGGUGUAGAACCAGCAGAAAGUGCAGUCCUGAUUCCUGAAUGGUAGCAAACCUGGUGAGUUACUCUAGUGCUUUGUAGGAGAUGAAGGAGAUGCUACAGGCUAACCUAAGUAUUGUGGUUUAGUUUCAAUCAUUUAAGUGGUCAAAUCUGACUGAUGCAUCAUGCAUGUAAUGAUACAUAAUAUGCACGCUUGUGUUGAAGGGAUGCAUCUGAUCCAAGGAUUUGGUCCUGGUUUCAUACCUCAAGUUCUGGAUGUUAGCUUGCUGGAUGAAGUUAUUCAAGUAAGUCGUCUGGAACUCAUCUGUACUGCUGCAAAGAUUAGACUUUAGAUGUGAAAUUGGCUUGCUCUUACUUGUAUAAGUUGAUGGAUAAAAGGAGUGGUAUAUCUUGUUUCUCAUAACAUGAAGAGCUAGCAUUGAUCUUUUUUCUUCCAGAAAGCUCAAGAAAGAUAGAAAAUGUAGUAAGCACUAAGGCUUAACCUUGUUCAACUCACUCUUAAACACAACUUACUAUCGGUACUAAGCAAAGAAUCCACUGUGAACAAAAUUAUUAAUUUAGUUCAUAUAUUUCUUUUUACACUAGAGUAACAAAAUUGAUUAUUCAUCACUAACGCUAUCGGUUACUAUUUCUCAUCUAAAUACAUGCGAUAGCGUUAGUAAUUAUAUGUCUUUUCUUUAAAUUUUUUAUUGUUUUUUUUCUUAUUUCGUCACACGUUAUAUUUAGUUUUUUGAUUAAGGGAUUACGUCUCUCACCAGGUCGGUU